UACGUAGGGUGCGAGCGUUUGUCCGGAAUUACUGGGCGUAAAGAGCUCGUAGGUGGUUUGUCGCGUUGUUCGUGAAAACCGGGGGCUUAACCCUCGGCGUGCGGGCGAUACGGGCAGACUUGAGUACUGCAGGGGAGACUGGAAUUCCUGGUGUAGCGGUGGGAAUGCGCAGAUAUCAGGAGGAACACCGGUGGCGAAGGCGGGUCUCUGGGCCGAUACUGACGCUGAGGAGCGGAAGCGUGGGUAGCAAACAGG
rnacentral:rRNA from 1 species